rnacentral:rRNA from 1 species
AGUGAACGCUGGCGGCAGGCCUAAUACAUGCAAGUCGAACGGCAGCACAGCAGAGCUUGCUCUGUGGGUGGCGAGUGGCGGACGGGUGAGGAAUACGUGGGAAUCUGCCCAGUCGUGGGGGAUAACGUAGGGAAACUUACGCUAAUACCGCAUGCGCCCUUCGGGGGAAAGCCGGGGACCUUCGGGCCUGGCGCGAUUGGAUGAGCCCACGUCGGAUUAGCUAGUUGGCGGGGUAAAGGCCCACCAAGGCGACGAUCCGUAGCUGGUCUGAGAGGAUGAUCAGCCACACUGGAACUGAGACACGGUCCAGACUCCCACGGGAGGCAGCAGUAGGGAAUAUUGGACAAUGGGCGCAAGCCUGAUCCAGCCAUGCCGCGUGAGUGAAGAAGGCCCUCGGGUUGUAAAGCUCUUUUGUCCGGAAAGAAAAGGACGCCGGGUUAAUAACCCUGGUGUCCUGACGUACCGGAAGAAUAAGCACCGGCUAACUUCGUGCCAGCAGCCGCGGUAAU